rnacentral:lncRNA from 1 species
GGGUUGACCAAACUGAACUCAAAUUGAGGAUCAUUGCUACUGUUAGGAUAAAGAGAUCAUGAAGCUGACUCAAGUAAACCACAUAUAUGAGAUGUUUCAUUUCGAUCAAGGAUGAAGCUGUCUACUUCUUUAUUUAGAAUAGAGGGUUCCACAUCCAUGUGGCUCUGGGGGCAAAAGAAGGUGAAAUACAAGAGUUCCAUAGAUAUAUUCAGCUACCAAACCUAGCAAAAGAAGCUAAGAACCUAAAUUUGGAACAUGUUAGCCAUUGCAAGUGAGGCCCAUCUCCUUCCGACAACGGGCCAUUUCCAUACCCUUUAGCUUGUUGACUUUAGCAACUUCAAAAGGUGAGAAUAAAAUCCCACAUUUAUAUCCCAGAUCUCGCAUGUCCUUGGC